GGGGCGGCGGGGGGGUGUGUGCCUGUCGACAUUUUUUGAUGUCUUCAGCGGGAGGAAGAGAAAACCUGGCGGGGAGGCGGCAGGGCGGGCUGGGGAGCGGAGGAGACGGCCGACGGACCAAUCAAUCAACAGCAAACAAUCAGUACGCAAUCCACAGGAAAACACGGCCGACACGACAGAACAAAGGGGACCGGAGGGGGUCCCGGAGGGGGUCCCGGAGGGGGUCCCGGAGGGGGUCCCGGCGGGGGUCCCGCGGCGCCAGGGCCAUCGACCACAGCCUUUUGUUGAGGAGCUCCGCUCCGGGGCGGCGCUCCGCUCCGGGUUUUAUUUUUUAACACUGUGUUCCAGUUUCUUGAUUUCUGUUGCACUGGUCGGCUUGGGAAUAACACAAUCAUAUGUUUCUAAUGUUUAUCCUUUGUGUUUGUUCAUGGGUCUCGUAUGAGCGCAAUUGUUUUAUCAAAACUGAGGCGGAUAAUGUGUAAAAAAAAAAGGAAAGAAUAAGAUGAGUUUGUGGGUUUAUGUAUCUAUAUUUACAGCAUAGGGUUGGAUGGGUGUACACGCAUAUGUGCGUGCGUGUGUGUGAGUGUGUGCGUGCAUGUGCGUGCAUGUGCGUGAGGGUGUGCGUGUGCGGGUGUGUGCAUGAGCAUGUCCCCCCGAGGGAGCGAGUCCACGAAACCCAAAUGAACGAUCAUAACCGGUGUUGAAUAGCUGACCAGUAACAGGGCAGUAACAGACCAGUAACAGGCCAGUCACAGACCAGUAACAGGCCAGUCACAGACCAGUAACCGGCCAGUCACAGACCAGUAACAGGCCAGUCACAGACCAGUAACAGGGCAGUAACAGACCAGUAACAGGCCAGUCACAGACCAGUUACCGGCCAGCCACAGACCAGUAACCGGCCAGUCACAGACCAGUUACUGGCCAGUCCCAGACCAGUAACCGGCCAGUAACAGACUAGUAACAGGCCAGUCACAGACCAGUAACAGGGCAGUCACAGACCAGUAACAGGGCAGUCACAGACCAGUAACCGGCCAGUCACAGACCAGUAACCGGCCAGUCACAGACCAGUAACCGGCCAGUCACAGACCAGUAACCGGCCAGUCACAGACCAGUAACAGGCCAGUCACAGACCAGUAACAGGGCAGUAACAGACCAGUAACAGGCCAGUCACUAACCAGUAACCGGCCAAUAACAGACCAGUAACCGGCCAGUCACAGACCAGUUACCGGCCAGUCCCAGACCAGUAACCGGCCAAUAACAGACCAGUUACCGGCCAGUCAUAGACCAGUAACCGGCCAGUCACAGACCAGUAACCGGCCAGUCACAGACCAGUAACCGGCCAGUCACAGACCAGUAACCCGCCAGUCACAGACCAGUAACCGGCCAGUCACAGACCAGUUACUGGCCAGUCACAGACCAGUAACCGGCCAGUCACAGACCAGUAACCGGCCUCUAUUCUCGACUGAUCCCCAUUCAUUCAGAUUCAGAGUGAACGGUCGAUUGCAGAGUGGGUGGAUUAAGGUUCUCUCUCGUUUUAGUUGUCAUAUUUCUACUAUGUACUGGUCAAGCGUGUGACUGUAUACUGUUAACAAGAACCAAUAUCCAGGUUCCAGCCUUCAAGGGAAAUUUGACACAGAAUUGUCACCAUUGUUUUUGGGGAUGAUCUGAUUUUCUUCUGUUAAAAUGUUUCUCUGUUAGCACUAGCCAUUAGCUUUUGUUCUUUUUUAUCGUCAGAUAGCUCAGUGGUUGAUUGUCUGGUCGACGUGGUUCUACAUCUUGAGCCAAUGCUUUUUACUUUUAUUAUGUGGAGUCUUUUUUUCCUGAAGUUCAAACUAAUCGAAAUGUCAUUGGUUCAGAAUGAGUUUUCAUCGUCAUGUAAGAAACAACAGGGCCUUUAUUUUGAAAAGCAACACAAUCAGAACUCUGACAGUGGCCAUUUUGCAUCCGGCGCCCCUCUGUCUGCGGUGGAGCGCUGGGGGGAACUACUAACCGCCACGCCCGUAUCUGGGGCUUCAUAUCUGUCUGGUUGAUCAACCGUUUUCAAUGAGAGUUUUCACAAGAAUGAUUUAACUGACACGGACUGCACCGAGCCGAGCCGCCAACGCCACCGGAUCCAUCGCCACCGCCGCCAGAAUGUAAUCUGAUGAGUGGGUGGAGCCUCCUCUGGUUCCCCCGACUAACGUCUAAUCCUUCUUUCAGUGACUGCAUGUUAGAGCUGCAGUUAAAGUUCGGCCUCGUUUGUUUAUGCAGGGACUUUAGCCCCUACCGCUAGUGUUAGCGUUAGCGAACCCCCUCCUCUCUCCCCUCCCCCCCUCCGUAGCAUGUCCCUGGAGGAGAGGUUCCUCCUGACACAUCACAUCGCUCAUCAAGUGAAGGGCUUACAACGAUCAGGCGGGCAGAACCGUGCGUACGUCCAGAUCCACGUUGGCUCAGCACACAGGGUACCUUACUGUUACACUGACAGGAACACAUGAAUCUCAUUGGCCGUCACCACCAGGAAGUGCUCCUCCUAUUGGUGGAUGAGGGUACCGCGGCGACCCGCCCCUUCGGCCACUAGCGGCUCCGACAGAUCGUCAUGGAAACUAAAGGGCUUACUUACUUUUUACUGCGGACUCUAGAGGUUCGUUUUGGGGGGAGGAGCUACAGGCGGGCAAUCAGGACUUUGAGUACUUACAGAUGUCGCCGAUGUUUCCCGCUCUCAUGUUGUUCUGUCGUCCUCUUCGUUCUCCAUCCGUCAGUCCUUGUCGACUCGCGCUGCGUUGAUCCCACUCCGACCCUUAGAGUCUCCCAGCUGGGCUGACUGAUGUUUGGACCGCCCAAACCGUGGCCCUGCCACCUCAGCCGCCUGCUGGGAGACGGAUAAUCGCAGACCCCCCAGAGGACCUCCUGGUUACUGAGGCAUUAGGACCAGUGAAGUUCACACCUGAACACCUGACACUAGCAUGAGGAGAAGGUUUAGGAAGGACGCCCUCUGAGGAGAGGGCUAGGGCUGUGUGUGUGUGUGUGUGUGUGUGUGUGUGUGUGUGUGUGUGUGUGUGUGUGUGUGUGUGUGUGUGUGUGUGUGUGUGUGUGUGUGUGUGUGUGUGUGUGUGUGUGUGUGUGUGUGUGUGUGUGUGUGUGUGUGUGUGUGUGUGUGUGUGGGGGGUGGGCACGUGCCUCAGCUUUGCAUUCAGCCUACAGGUGUGUCUCGGAGUAUGUGUGUGUGCAGGCCUAUGGAUGAAUUUAAUCUUUAACAGUAAUUCGCUUUUGCGAGAAGUUAUCAUUAGCGUGUGGGUGAGACCACUUGGCUCGCAGGUCUGCCCACCCCCGGAGAAGACACCAAUUAUUAGUGACCAUAUUAAUCACGCAGCCACGACAGGCUAGGCUAGCCAGGACAGCUACCUCCGCUGGCUUGGCCUAAAAUAAACGUGAUAGAUGGUUGGGUGAGGUUUGCCACUAAGCUAUUCAUGACCCACACAGGAGGGUGUGUGUGUGUGUGUGUGUGUGUGUGUGUGUGUGUGUGUGUGUGUGUGUGUGUGUGUGUGUGUGUGUGUGUGUGUGUGUGUGUGUGUGUGUGUGUGUGUGUGUGUGUGUGUGUGUUAGUGUGUGUGUGUGUGUGUGUGUGUGGGGGGGG
ensembl:lncRNA